AUUGAACGCUGGCGGCAUGCUUUACACAUGCAAGUCGAGCGGCAGCGCGGGGGCAACCCUGGCGGCGAGCGGCGGACGGGUGAGUAAGGCAUCGGAACGUAUCCCGUAGUGGGGGACAACGCAGGGAAACCGGCGCUAAUACCGCAUAUGCUCUACGGAGGAAAGCGGGGGACCCGCAAGGGCCUCGCGCUAUGGGAGCGGCCGAUGGCCGAUUAGCUAGUUGGUGAGGUAAAGGCUUACCAAGGCGACGAUCGGUAGCUGGUCUGAGAGGAUGAUCAGCCACACUGGGACUGAGACACGGCCCAGACUCCUACGGGAGGCAGCAGUGGGGAAUUUUGGACAAUGGGGGCAACCCUGAUCCAGCCAUGCCGCGUGCGGGAAGAAGGCCUUCGGGUUGUAAACCGCUUUUGUACGGAACGAAACGGCUCUCUCUAAUACAGAGGGCUAAUGACGGUACCGUAAGAAUAAGCACCGGCUAACUACGUGCCAGCCGCCGCCGUAAGAC
rnacentral:rRNA from 1 species